GAUCUGAAGACAAACAAGAAAAGUCCACUUACACUUCCCAGUCUGGAAAUAACACAUAUUUGGCUUUAAAAGCCCUGGGUUCAUAUGUUCAGGCAUAUUUUAAGCUUUUCUACUGAGCAGGAACAGCUCUUAUGAGAACUGAAACUUUUAGCAACAGAGGAUGUGCCUUUUGGCAACACCAAAUAUAAACAUCCACAGCACGUGCAAGGCUCUGGCUUCCCUUCACCACGCAGAGGAUACAGCAAUGCUGCCUUCUGAAGGCCAACAGGGCAGGAUUCACCAUCUCUCUGGCUCUCCUUUGGGAUUUUGGUAUCACACAUGUCCUGGUCCAUCUCUUCACUGAAACCAUUUUCUAGAAUUUCACUCUUAACUUCCAUAUCGUUCAAUUCAACAUCGAUGUAACAGAUGACAGAAUCCAGAUUUACAUCCAUACUUUUAAGAUGGUCUUCACUCAUGCU